AUACGUAGGGAGCGAGCGUUGUCCGGAAUUACUGGGCGUAAAGGGCGCGUAGGCCGUGUUAUAAGUUAGUUGUAAAACGUGUGGGCUUAACCCGCAUUCGCAACUAAAACUGUAACGCUAGAGGCAUAGAGAGGCAGACGGAAUUCCUGGUGUAGCGGUGAAAUGCGUAGAUAUCAGGAAGAACACCGGUGGCGAAGGCGGUCGGCUGGCUAUGAACUGACGCUGAAGCGCGAAAGCCAGGGAAGCAAACGGGAUUAGAUACCCCGGUAGUCCUGGCAGUAAACGAUGUAUGCUGGGUGUGGGCGUAGCGAUACGUCCGUGCCGAAGUUAACGCGAUAAGCAUACCGCCUGGGGAGUACGGUCGCAAGAUUGAAACUUAAAGGAAUUGACGGGG
rnacentral:rRNA from 1 species